rnacentral:rRNA from 1 species
CCUACGGGAGGCAGCAGUAGGGAAUCUUUGACAAUGGGCGAAAGCCUGAUGCAGCGACGCCGCGUGCAGGAAGAAGUAUUUCGGUAUGUAAAGCUCUAUCAUCAGGGAAGAAAGAGAUGACAGUACCUGACUAAGAAGCGCCGGCUAACUACGUGCCAGCAGCCGCGGUAAUAGGUAGGGGGAAAGCGUUAUCCGGAUUUACUGGGUGUAAAGUGCGCGUAGAGGGCUAUGCAAGUCUGAGGUGAAAGGCGGGGGCCAAACCCCCGGACUGCUUUGGAAACUGUAGGGCUGGAGUGCAUGAGAGGUAAGUGGAAUUCCUAGUGUAGCGGUGAAAUGCGUAGAUAUUAGGAGGAACACCAGUGGCGAAGGCGGCUUACUGGAACGUAACUGACGUUGAGGCUCGAAAGCGUGGGGAGCAAACAGGAUUAGAUACCCGAGUAGUC